rnacentral:rRNA from 1 species
AUACGUAGGGGGCAAGCGUUAUCCGGAAUCACUGGGUGUAAAGGGUGCGUAGGCGGUAGGGCAAGUCAGAUGUGAAAGCCCGGAGCUCAACUCCGGGAUUGCAUUUGAAACUGCUUUACUAGAGUGCAGGAGAGGAAAGCGGAAUUCCUAGUGUAGCGGUGAAAUGCGUAGAUAUUAGGAAGAACACCAGUGGCGAAGGCGGCUUUCUGGACUGUAACUGACGCUGAGGCACGAAAGCGUGGGGAGCGAACAGGAUUAGAUACCCUGGUAGUCCACGCCGUAAACGAUGAGUGCUAGGUGUCGGGGCCGACAGGUCUCGGUGCUGAAGUUAACGCAUUAAGCACUCCACCUGGGGAGUACGAUCGCAAGAUUGAA